rnacentral:rRNA from 1 species
UGGCUGUCGUCAGCUCGUGUCGUGAGAUGUUCGGCUAAGUCCGCUAACGAGCGCAACCCUCGUCGUAUGUUAUAUGUGUCAGUACGAGACUGCCGGUAAAAAGCCGGAGGAAGGUGAGGAUGAUGUCAAGUCAGCAUGACCUUUAUAUCCAGGGCUACACACACGCUACAAUGGGAAGGGACAAUAGGUUGCGAAGCCGCGAGGCGGAGCCAAUCCAGCAAACUUCCUCAGUUCAGAUUGCAGGCUGCAACCCGCCUGCAUGAAGUUGGAGUUGCUAGUAAACGCAGGUCAGCCAUACUGCGUUGAAUACGUUCCCGGGGCUU